GACGGAGGAUGCAAGUGUUAUCCGGAAUCAUUGGGCGUAAAGCGCACGUAGGCGGUUCGUUAUGUCGGAUGUGAAAGCCCUUGGCUUAACCGAGGAAGUGCAUCCGAAACUGGCGAGCUAGAGUACGAAAGAGGAUCGCGGAAUUCCCGGUGUAGAGGUGAAAUUCGUAGAUAUCGGGAGGAACACCGGUGGCGAAGGCGGCCUGCUGGGCAGUUUUGCUGACACUGAGGCGCGACAGCGUGGGGAGCAAACAGG
rnacentral:rRNA from 1 species